rnacentral:lncRNA from 1 species
AAGAUGUGUCUUUAUGCUAUAGUCUAGUUGGUGUGUAGUUUACUAGUCUGCUCAUCUCCAUAUACACGUGUUGUAUGUGUAUAGUUGCUUGGUAGCUUUACUGCUUUAUACACAUGUUUUUGUUUUUAUUUGUCUACAAUACUUCAAUUCUUUUCUAACUUAAAAAGUUAACUAAACCUUUUUUAUAUUUCUUUCUUGCAGAGGAAACAACUUUUAAACUCCUGGGUAUUUGCUUAUGAAGUUGCGCUCAUUCUUAUGAAGUUCAAGUAGUUCUGAAAUUUUGUAGGAAUAUUUUUUGUUUUGAUUUAUUAUGAUGUAUGUGGAGACUUAUUUUAAAUGUAUGAUUUGGUUUACUUUGAGUAUGAGGUGGAUAUCAUUAUUAUAUUUAUUACAGUCAUGAGUAAAUAAUUUGUUAAGGAUUUAUUUAUUUGGAAUAA